GGUAAGUGUGGGUCAGGAGGGGGUGUAAUACGGAGGUGUCAGGCGGUGUUCGGAUUCAUUGGGCGGAAGGGGGGGGUAGGGGGCGCGCUAAGUCGGGUGUGAAAUUUCGGAGCUUAACUCCGAAACUGCAUUCGAUACUGGCGUGCUUGAGGACUGGAGAGGAGACUGGAAUUUACGGUGUAGCAGUGAAAUGCGUAGACAUCGUAAGGAAGACCAGUGGCGAAGGCGGGUCUCUGGACAGUUCCUGACACUGAGACACGAAGGCCAGGGGAGCAAACGGGAUUAGAUACCCUGGUAGUC
rnacentral:rRNA from 1 species